rnacentral:rRNA from 1 species
UACGGAGGGUGCAAGCGUUAUCCGGAUUUACUGGGCUUAAAGGGUGCGUAGGUGGGCAGGUAAGUCAGUGGUGAAAUCUCCGGGCUUAACCCGGAAACUGCCAUUGAUACUAUCUGUCUUGAAUAUCCUGGAGGUAAGCGGAAUAUGUCAUGUAGCGGUGAAAUGCUUAGAUAUGACAUAGAACACCCAUUGCGAAGGCAGCUUACUACGGGAUUAUUGACACUGAGGCACGAAAGCGUGGGGAUCAAACAGG